rnacentral:rRNA from 1 species
GGCGAACGGGUGAGUAACACGUGAGCAACCUACCCUUGACUCUGGGAUAACAGUUGGAAACAGCUGCUAAUACCGGAUACGACCUCGAUGGGCAUCCGUUGAGGUGGAAAGCUCCGACGGUCAAGGAUGGGCUCGCGGCCUAUCAGCUUGUUGGUGGGGUAAUGGCCUACCAAGGCGACGACGGGUAGCCGGCCUGAGAGGGCGACCGGCCACACUGGGACUGAGAUACGGCCCAGACUCCUACGGGAGGCAGCAGUGGGGAAUAUUGCGCAAUGGGCGAAAGCCUGACGCAGCAACGCCGCGUGCGGGAUGAAGGCCUUCGGGUUGUAAACCGCUUUCAGCAGGGACGAAGGUUUUCUGACGGUACCUGCAGAAGAAGCACCGGCUAACUACGUGCCAGCAGCCGCGGUGAUACGUAGGGUGCGAGCGUUGUCCGGAAUUAUUGGGCGUAAAGAGCUUGUAGGCGGUCUGUUGCGUCGGAAGUGAAAACUCAGGGCUUAACCCUGAGCCUGCUUUCGAUACGGGCAGACUUGAGGGAUGUAGGGGAGAACGGAAUUCCUGGUGGAGCGGUGGAAUGCGCAGAUAUCAGGAGGAACACCAGUGGCGAAGGCGGUUCUCUGGACAUUUCCUGACGCUGAGAAGCGAAAGCGUGGGGAGCAAACAGGCUUAGAUACCCUGGUAGUCCACGCCGUAAACGGUGGGCACUAGGUGUGGGAUCCUUCCACGGAUUCCGUGCCGUAGCUAACGCAUUAAGUGCCCCGCCUGGGGAGUACGGCCGCAAGGCUAAAACUCAAGGAAUUUGA